rnacentral:rRNA from 1 species
UGGGGAAUUUUGGACAAUGGGGGCAACCCUGAUCCAGCCAUGCCGCGUGAGUGAAGAAGGCCUUCGGGUUGUAAAGCUCUUUCGGCCGGGAAGAAAUCGCAUAGGUUAAUACCCUGUGUGGAUGACGGUACCGGAAUAAGAAGCACCGGCUAACUACGU